rnacentral:rRNA from 1 species
CACGUAGGGGACGAGCGUUGUCCGGAUUCAUUGGGCGUAAAGCGCGCGUAGGCGGCUCGGAAAGUCGGUCGUGAAAUGCCGGGGCUCAACCCCGGGACUGCGUCCGAUACUCCCGAGCUGGAGGCAGGUAGGGGAGAUCGGAAUUCCUGGUGUAGCGGUGAAAUGCGCAGAUAUCAGGAGGAACACCCGUGGCGAAAGCGGCUCUCUGGGACGGUACUGACGCUGAGACGCGAAAGCGUGGGGAGCAAACAGG